CUCAAAGAAGUGAAAUUGUUAUAAGGAAACCGCUUAAAACUUCUGGAAUCUGUGCACCAGUUAAUGGGGGAGCAAUCCCUUUGCUAUUGGUGUAUGGGUGGCUAUUGCUCGGGUUUGAGCUUAUGAGGAUUAGAAGGGAAGGUAAGUUGAAUUUCGGUUUAACUUCUUAAAGCCCUUUUAGUCUGAUAAAGUUUGGGCCAGUGUAGAAAGUCAUACGGUGGCUAGCUCUUGAAUUAAACACUAUAAUAGACUUGUGCUAGAGUGGUUUUUAAUUUAAGGCCUAGUACUGCCACAUGCUUUAAUAGUUAAGAAGACUUAAGCGACCCGUCUUGAAACACGGACCAAGGAGUCUAACAUAUAUGCAAGUAUUAUGGCUUAAAACCAGACUGCGCAAUGAAAGUAAUUUCAAGGUAGGAUCCCGCAAGGGUGCACUAUCGACCGAGCUAUAGGGAUUUUUUUCUAUGGUUUGAGUAAGAGCAUAUAUGUUGGUACCCGAAAGAUGGUGAACUAUGCCUGAAUAGGGUGAAGCCAGGGGAAACCCUGGUGGAAGCUCGUAGCGAUUCUGACGUGCAAAUCGAUCGUCAAAUUUGGGUAUAGGGGCGAAAGACUAAUCGAACCAUCUAGUAGCUGUUYCCUUCCCGA
rnacentral:rRNA from 1 species